UUCCUCUCCCUGCCUUUUUUUUACUUCCCUUGAUCUGAUAAUUUAUCACAUAUUUUCUUUUCUUUUUUCAGUUCAGUCAAGUCAAGCCAUCACUGCUUUACCACAUUGCAUGGUGGGGGACUAGGUGUGUGGAAGUACUUACCGGUUGCCGCCCAUCAUGGAGGCGCUGGUCAAGGCCAAGGCAACAUGCUCCUUGCUAUUGGAGUCCAUGGUGCAGGUCUCCUAUGGUGCAUAUCCGUUCAGUGACAGACUUAUUCAACUUUCUCAAGCUAUUCCCACACUUUGAUUUCAUUCAGAAAUGGAAUUUUGACACAGAUAGAUCAAAGGAAAUAUUCUGAAUUUUUGGCAAUCAGUAAAGGAGGUGAUCGAAGAUUUAGUUGAGUCAGAGAAUGAGAUUACGGAGGCUAGACCCACAAAGAGGAGGAGCUCGACUGGUCGGACCAAGAUGACACCACCAACGAAGAACCUCUGAGGGUACAGCCAGUGAUGCCGUCAUCCUCUCCUCCGAGGAUGAAGAUAACGCCAACGAGCGAUGGCAAGAGGCUAGAAUAAUCAGAGCACUUGCCUGAGCAUAGUGAU